CACGUAGGCACCAAGCGUUGUCCGGAUUUAUUGGGCGUAAAGAGCUCGUAGGCGGCUUGUCGCGUCGUCCGUGAAAACCCACAGCUCAACUGUGGGCUUGCGGUCGAUACGGGCAGGCUAGAGUUCGGUAGGGGAGACUGGAAUUCCUGGUGUAGCGGUGAAAUGCGCAGAUAUCAGGAGGAACACCCGGUGGCGAAGGCGGGUCUCUGGGCCGAUACUGACGCUGAGGAGCGAAAGCGUGGGGAGCGAACAGG
rnacentral:rRNA from 1 species